AGAGCGAACGCUGGCGGCAGGCUUAACACAUGCAAGUCGAACGGAUCCUUCGGGAUUAGUGGCGGACGGGUGAGUAACACGUGGGAACGUGCCUUUUGGUUCGGAACAACACAGGGAAACUUGUGCUAAUACCGAAUGUGCCCUUCGGGGGAAAGAUUUAUCGCCAUUAGAGCGGCCCGCGUCUGAUUAGCUAGUUGGUGAGGUAAAGGCUCACCAAGGCUACGAUCAGUAGCUGGUCUGAGAGGAUGAUCAGCCACAUUGGGACUGAGACACGGCCCAAACUCCUACGGGAGGCAGCAGUGGGGAAUCUUGCGCAAUGGGGGAAACCCUGACGCAGCCAUGCCGCGUGGAGGAUGAAGCCCCUUGGGGCGUAAACUCCUUUCGAUCGGGAAGAUAAUGACGGUACCGGAAGAAGAAGCCCCGGCUAACUUCGUGCCAGCAGCCGC
rnacentral:rRNA from 1 species